rnacentral:rRNA from 1 species
GACGAACGCUGGCGGCGUGCUUAACACAUGCAAGUCGAACGGAAAGGCCCUGCUUUUGUGGGGUGCUCGAGUGGCGAACGGGUGAGUAACACGUGAGUAACCUGCCCUUGACUUUGGGAUAACUUCAGGAAACUGGGGCUAAUACCGGAUAGGAGCUCCUGCUGCAUGGUGGGGGUUGGAAAGUUUCGGCGGUUGGGGAUGGACUCGCGGCUUAUCAGCUUGUUGGUGGGGUAGUGGCUUACCAAGGCUUUGACGGGUAGCCGGCCUGAGAGGGUGACCGGCCACAUUGGGACUGAGAUACGGCCCAGACUCCUACGGGAGGCAGCAGUGGGGAAUAUUGCACAAUGGGCGGAAGCCUGAUGCAGCAACGCCGCGUGCGGGAUGACGGCCUUCGGGUUGUAAACCGCUUUCGCCUGUGACGAAGCGUGAGUGACGGUAAUGGGUAAAGAAGCACCGGCUAACUACGUGCCAGCAGCCGCGGUGAUACGUAGGGUGCGAGCGUUGUCCGGAUUUAUUGGGCGUAAAGGGCUCGUAGGUGGUUGAUCGCGUCGGAAGUGUAAUCUUGGGGCUUAACCCUGAGCGUGCUUUCGAUACGGGUUGACUUGAGGAAGGUAGGGGAGAAUGGAAUUCCUGGUGGAGCGGUGGAAUGCGCAGAUAUCAGGAGGAACACCAGUGGCGAAGGCGGUUCUCUGGGCCUUUCCUGACGCUGAGGAGCGAAAGCGUGGGGAGCGAACAGGCUUAGAUACCCUGGUAGUCCACGCUGUAAACGGUGGGUACUAGGUGUGGGGUCCAUUCCACGGGUUCCGUGCCGUAGCUAACGCUUUAAGUACCCCGCCUGGGGAGUACGGACGCAAGGCUAAAACUCAAAGGAAUUGACGGGGCCCCGCACAAGCGGCGGAGCAUGCGGAUUAAUUCGAUGCAACGCGUAGAACCUUACCUGGGUUUGACAUGGAUCGGGAGUGCUCAGAGAUGGGUGUGCCUCUUUUGGGGUCGGUUCACAGGCGGUGCAUGGCUGCCGUCAGCUCGUGUCGUGAGAUGUUGGGUUAAGUCCCGCAACGAGCGCAACCCUUGUUCACUGUUGCCAGCACGUUAUGGUGGGGACUCAGUGGAGACCGCCGGGGUCAACUCGGAGGAAGGUGGGGAUGACGUCAAGUCAUCAUGCCCCUUAUGUCCAGGGCUUCACGCAUGCUACAAUGGCUGGUACAGAGAGUGGCGAGCCUGUGAGGGUGAGCGAAUCUCGGAAAGCCGGUCUCAGUUCGGAUUGGGGUCUGCAACUCGACCUCAUGAAGUCGGAGUCGCUAGUAAUCGCAGAUCAGCAACGCUGCGGUGAAUACGUUCCCGGGGC